UGGGGAAUCUUGGACAAUGGGCGAAAGCCUGAUCCAGCCAUGCCGCGUGAGUGACGAAGGCCUUAGGGUUGUAAAACUCUUUCGUCGGGGACGAUAAUGACGGUACCCGAAGAAGAAGCUCCGGCUAACUUCGUGCCAGCAGCCGCGGUAAUACGAAGGGAGCUAGCGUUGUUCGGAAUCACUGGGCGUAAAGCGCACGUAGGCGGAUUUGUCAGUCAGGGGUGAAAUCCCGAGGCUCAACCUCGGAACUGCCUCCGAUACAGCAAGUCUCGAGUCCGGAAGAGGUGAGUGGAAUUCCUAGUGUAGAGGUGAAAUUCGUAGAUAUUAGGAAGAACACCAGUGGCGAAGGCGGCUCACUGGUCCGGUACUGACGCUGAGGUGCGAAAGCGUGGGGAGCAAACAGGAUUAGAUACCCCUGUAGUCCCUGAGCGGGCUGGCAAGGCGCAU
rnacentral:rRNA from 1 species